rnacentral:lncRNA from 1 species
CAUAACUUUUCACGGGACUUGAAGGCUUACGAGGGUAGCGAUCACCAACAGCAUAAGUUUUUGGGGGGCUUGAAGGCCUACCAACAGCGUAACUUUUUGCGGGGCUUGAAGGCCUACCAACAGCGUAACUUUUUGCGGGGCUUGAAGGCCUACCAACAGCAUAACUUUUGGGGGGGCUUGAAGGCCUACCAACAGCAUAACUUUUUGGGGGGCUUGAACGCCUACCAACAGCAUAGCUUUUGGGAGGGCUUGAAGGCCUACCAACAGCAUAACUUUUGGGGGGGCUUGAAGGUCUACCAACAGCAUAACUUUUUGGGGGGCUUGAACGCCUACCAACACCAUAGCUUUUGGGGGGGCUUGAAGGCCUACCAACAGCAUAACUUUUUGGGGGACUUGAAGGCCUACGCGGGUAUUGAUCACCAACAGCGUAACCAUAAUUUUUUGGGGGGCUUGAAGGCCUAUGCAGCUUGGGAUCAGCAACAGCAUAACCAUACCCUUUCGCAGGGCUUGAAGGAGGGCUAGAAGGCCUACGCCAGUCAUCAGCAUACCCGUAUUCGUUUGCAGGUGAGAGAAUAC